GCCCUACGGGAGGCUGCAGGGAGGAAUAUUGGGCAAUGGGCGAAAGCCUGACCCAGCAACGCCGCGUGAAGGACGAAGGCCUUCGGGUCGUAAACUUCUUUUGAGGGAGACGAGAAAGGACGGUAUCCCUCGAAUAAGCCACGGCUAACUACGUGCCAGCAGCCGCGGUAAAACGUAGGUGGCGAGCGUUAUCCGGAUUCAUUGGGCGUAAAGAGCUUGUAGGCGGUUUCGUAAGUUGGACGUGAAAACUCCGGGCUUAACUUGGAGAGGCCGUUCAAUACUGCGGGACUGGAGGAUGUCAGAGGGGAGUGGAAUUCCUGGUGUAGCAGUGAAAUGCGUAGAUAUCAGGAGGAACACCCGUGGCGAAGGCGGCUCCCUGGGACAUCCCUGACGCUGAGAAGCGAAAGCUAGGGGAGCAAACGGGAUUAGAUACCCCUGUAGUCGA
rnacentral:rRNA from 1 species